UGAACGCUGGCGGCAGGCCUACCACAUGCAAGUCGCACGGUAACAGGAAACAGCUUGCUGUUUCGCUGACGAGUGGCGGACGGGUGAGUAAUGUCUGGGAAACUGCCUGAUGGAGGGGGAUAACUACUGGAAACGGUAGCUAAUACCGCAUAACGUCGCAAGACCAAAGAGGGGGACCCUCGGGCCUCUUGCCAUCGGAUGUGCCCAGAUGGGAUUAGCUUGUUGGUGGGGUAACGGCUCACCAAGGCGACGAUCCCUAGCUGGUCUGAGAGGAUGACCAGCCACACUGGAACUGAGACACGGUCCAGACUCCUACGGGAGGCAGCAGUGGGGAAUAUUGCACAAUGGGCGCAAGCCUGAUGCAGCCAUGCCGCGUGUAUGAAGAAGGCCUUCGGGUUGUAAAGUACUUUCAGCGGGGAGGAAGGGAGUAAAGUUAAUACCUUUGCUCAUUGACGUUACCCGCAGAAGAAGCACCGGCUAACUCCGUG
rnacentral:rRNA from 1 species